rnacentral:rRNA from 1 species
GACGAACGCUGGCGGCGUGCUUAACACAUGCAAGUCGAACGGAAAGGCCCUGCUUUUGUGGGGUGCUCGAGUGGCGAACGGGUGAGUAACACGUGAGUAACCUGCCCUUGACUUUGGGAUAACUUCAGGAAACUGGGGCUAAUACCGGAUAGGAGCUCCUGCUGCAUGGUGGGGGUUGGAAAGUUUCGGCGGUUGGGGAUGGCCUCGCGGCUUAUCAGCUUGUUGGUGGGGUAGUGGCUUACCAAGGCUUUGACGGGUAGCCGGCCUGAGAGGGUGACCGGCCACAUUGGGACUGAGAUACGGCCCAGACUCCUACGGGAGGCAGCGGUGGGGAAUAUUGCACAAUGGGCGGAAGCCUGAUGCGGCAACGCCGCGUGCGGGAUGACGGCCUUCGGGUUGUAAACCGCUUUCGCCUGUGACGAAGCGUGAGUGACGGUAAUGGGUAAAGAAGCACCGGCUAACUACGUG